CUACGGAGGGUGCGAGCGUUAAUCGGAAUUACUGGGCGUAAAGCGUACGUAGGCGGUUGGUUAAGUUAGAUGUGAAAGCCCCGGGCUUAACCUGGGAACUGCAUUUAAAACUGGCGAACUAGAGUUGAGUAGAGGGGAGUGGAAUUUCAGGUGUAGCGGUGAAAUGCGUAGAGAUCUGAAGGAACACCAGUGGCGAAGGCGACUCCCUGGACUCGAACUGACGCUGAGGUACGAAAGCGUGGGUAGCAAACGGGAUUAGAAACCCUAGUAGUCC
rnacentral:rRNA from 1 species